rnacentral:rRNA from 1 species
GACGUAGGGGGCCGGCGUUGUUCGGAAUUACUGGGUGUAAAGGGUUCGUAGGCGGUGCGGCAAGUCGGGAGUGAAAUCUCUGGGCUUAACCCAGAGGCUGCUUCCGAAACUGCUGUGCUUGAGUGUGGGAGAGGCGCGUGGAAUUGCAGGUGUAGCGGUGAAAUGCGUAGAUAUCUGGAGGAACACCGGUGGCGAAGGCGGCAUCCUGGACCAGCACUGACGCUGAGGAGCGAAAGCCAGGGGAGCAAACGGG